rnacentral:misc_RNA from 1 species
UAUAUCUAUUUAGAUCCAUUACAUGAAGAAGCAUGAAGUUGAAACAGUAAAGCCUCCUGCAUAUAAUGCAGUUAUAUAUGCCUAAAAGAGAAACGCAAAGUUACUGUCACUGAAGACAAUAACAAUACUUGCCUAAAAACUUCAGAUAACUAUUACUUUGCUGUCAGUGCCAUGCAAAGCACAAAAUGGAAGUACUUGGUGACCAUUAUAUGCAGACAAGAUCAGGUGUUGAUGCAGCAAGUGAUAUUGAAUCUGAUGAGCAAUAGGUUCUUAAAAGCUGAAGAACUUAAAGAUAGUACACCAGCAUCCAGGCCAACUCAAAGUCAAAAAUCAUGGAACAAAAGACGACGUUAUAUGAUGCAUUUGUUGUACCAUUUAGGAAAAUGUUUGACACCAUUGCAAAAGCCUAUGCAGAUAAUUCUCAUAAAGAGAGAG